rnacentral:rRNA from 1 species
GACGAACGCUGGCGGCGUGCUUAACACAUGCAAGUCGAACGGUAAGGCCCUAGCUUGCUGGGGUGCACGAGUGGCGAACGGGUGCGUAACACGUGGGUAACCUGCCCUGCACUUUGGGAUAAGCCUGGGAAACUGGGUCUAAUACCGGAUACGAUCGCACCGUGAGGGGGAGGUGGAAAGUGUUUCGGGGUGGGAUGGGUGGGAGGCCUAUUAGCGUGUUGGUGGGGUAAUGGGCUACCAAGCCAGCGACGGGAAGCUGGCCUGAGAGGGGGGACGGCCACAGUGGUACUGAGCCACGGCCCAGAGUCCUAAGGGGGGCAACAGAGGGGAAUAUUACACAGUGGACGGGAGCCUGAGGCAGCGUCGCCGCGUGGGGGAAGACGGCCUUCGGGUAGUAAACUCCUUUCACCAUCGACGAAGGUGUUCUGACGGUAGAUGGAGAAGAAGCACCGGCUAACUACGUG